CCGGCGACCGGCGCACGGGUGAGUAACACGUAUGCAACCUGCCCUCUUCAGGGGGACAACCUUCCGAAAGGGAGGCUAAUCCCGCGUAUAUCGGUUUCGGGCAUCCGAGAUCGAGGAAAGAUUCAUCGGAAGAGGAUGGGCAUGCGGCGCAUUAGCUAGACGGCGGGGUAACGGCCCGCCGUGGCGACGAUGCGUAGGGGUUCUGAGAGGAAGGUCCCCCACACUGGUACUGAGACACGGACCAGACUCCUACGGGAGGCAGCAG
rnacentral:rRNA from 1 species